ensembl:lncRNA
AACAGAAUGAGCCAGAAUGUGUUGGAGAUGAGAAUUGGCAGUGUUUCAGCAGCACCAGGGAGACAUACACAAUAUUAAGCAAGUGGUUUUAAUGUUUUGGCUGAUGUGCUAACGUUGGAGGAAAUCGGGUUGCUGUAUAUUUAUGUUUAUUCUGUAAGGAUUCCGGUCUCCUCCGUCUGUUUCUGAGGUUUUACAACCUGUUUUACAAACUCUUUCCCCCAGAAUCUGAGAUGCUUUACUAACAUCAGACAGAACCAGAGUGGUGAGUAUACCAUAACAGAAGCGUGAGGAAUAUAAAGUCAUGAAUUUGGUAAAUAAUGAGAUGUAUGAAGAGUUCUGGUCCUCAAACUGUAUGAUGUUCUCAGCUAAAGUUAGCGCUGAUAAUACUCACACAGACACACACAGACACACACACACACACACACACACACACACACACACACACACACACACACACACAGUGGUGUAAAGUUACACAUGACUGCUUUAUUUAUAGCAGUGUGUGAAAGGCUUCGGAUGGCUGGGCACUGAGAGAAGAACACUGAUCGUGAACUGUUUCACUUUUUCAUGUAGAAAAGAAAAUCCAGGCAAAUCCAGCAGCCGUGAUGCAGUGAGGAGUUUAGCUCAGGAAGGAGAACCGCACAUACUCUUUCACGUUAGCGUAAAGGUAGAUAAAUACAGAUAGAAAGACAGACAAGCAGGCAGACAGGUAGAUAGAGAAAUUGAAUAGACAUCUGGACACACAGUUUAUCGUGUCGUUUAAAAGUGUUUCUUUUCCUCAGUGUAGAUCGUUCUGUCUGCGUUGCCCCCUCUGGCUGCUAUGGGGAACUACAGCUCUACAGAGAUUGAAGUUUUUAAAGGCAUUGUAUCAGCAGCGGGGAGCGAAACACACACACUGCAGAACCAAGCCUCAAUUAAUCAUGUCACAUGAAGUGUGGGAUCGUCUGACUGAAACGCUGCAGGAACCCGAUCUGUUCUCCCUCAAGUUCCUCCACAACAUCACAGAGACGACCGGAGAACCUUCAGAACCUAAAACAGAUGCUCCUCCAGAACCAGAAGUCUCUCCAUCUCCAGAAGUUUCCUCUGCAUCCUCUAACUCCUCCUCCCCGACCGUCUCCUCCCUCAUUUCUGCACUCAGAUCCUCAGAUUCCUCCUCGUCACGUCCUAAACCCCAUCUCGUUGCUCACGGCCCUCCGACUUUACAGAAACUAAAUGUGGAGCUUCAUGACAUGAGAGAGGAGCUGGAGCUGCUGAAGACUCAGCACAAGAGAGAAAUUAAACUGCUAAUGAGCGAGCUAGAUGAAGAGAAGAAAAUGCGCCUUUCGCUGCAGGUCGAGGUGGAGCGUCUUAAGAGGCGCAUGUCCAAAUAAGACAUGGGCACGUCAUGUUGUAAAGACGUUUCCAUGAUAACUGUGGUUAUUAAACACACUCCCAGGAUGAAACGUUUUGGUGUUUAAGAGAAGGACACAACGUGCUUUGAGAAAAAUAGUUCUUCAUCUCCCACGACUUUGUGUUCCUCUGGGAACACAAAGACGUUGUGUGGAUCCUCGGAUGACACGUGAUGUGUUCCAUUUGUACUAACCUCUGAGUUCACUACCUAGUACACUAUUUACACCUGAAGUAAACACACCCCUUGGUACUGCACUCAGCACACAUGGAUCUUACUGUAUGUGUAUAUCUUAUUCAUUUUUCUCCUACAACACACUGUGACUUAAAAAUGGUUGUCUUCCACUUCCUGUUCAUGUUAACCCUCACACAACAUAUCACUAUACUGAAGACAUCUUUAGGAUAACUCAUUCAUUAAACACAACAUCCACUCCAUUACUCAUUACAGGGAGUAAAUAUGGAGUUAGAAAAAACACCUGAACCCACAAUACUGAGAAAAGUGUAUGAUGAUGUCCAGCUGUCUGUGCUUCCUGUUCUCUCUCUCUCUCUCUCUCUCUCUCUCUCUCUCUCUCUCUCUCUCUCUCUCUGAUGUGAGAAAUGAAGCUUCAUUAAACUCUGGCGCCAUCUUCUGGGAGAUUGCUGUAACUGCUUUAAGGAAAACUGUAACAGUUAAUUGUGUGUGAUUUUUAUUUAAUGCUCAUCUGUAAUGUCCUGAAAUAAACCAGUAUGAAUUCUUCUACACUGCAGUCCUUCUCACAUAUUCCAAUGUGUUUAAAUAAAGUGUGUGUUACUUUACAAUCAUCAGCACAUCUCUGAACUCCUUUGUGUGGCUCUAGAUCCAUCUGCAUGCCUCUAGAACCCUAAACACAUCUCUAGAACCCUAGAGUUCUCACCACUUCUCUAGAACUCUCAACGCAUGUUCAGAACCCUCGGCAUUCUGCAUAACUUGUCACUAGACCACACACAUGGCUCUAAAACUCUUGUUGCUCUUCUAUAACCCUCAGCAUAUCUAUAGCGUCAUCAAUGCAUCUCUAGAGGCCCUAUUG